UCCCAUAUCACGGGCAUAUUUGAAUCUUUUCUUCAUAAUUCUACUUCUUGUCCUAUGAUGUUAACCAAAGUAAAGCUCAAUAUGCAAUUUAAUGUCAUGAAAAUAAGAAACAAACCAACUAUAUACACUGCUGUAUGAAACCUUGCUACCAAGAGUUCCUCAGCGAGUGCAUUCCCCAGGGAUCCACAACGUGCAGCUGGAGCAGCAAAAAAGUUGGGAUCGAAAGCUGCAUUGACUUUUAUUGGGAAAUCUCCAGCUGUCUAGUGAAGAAGUCUGAACUCCAGCUGCUUCCUACGCAUCUGGGAUCCCCAGUGUUGCUGGCUGCUGUUUGUGAGGUCUCAGGUUGGUUUCUUGCUCUGUCUGCCUGUUCCGAGCCAUUUCCUCACAACCUGAAGUGAGAGCAGCUUGAAAAGAGAAGGUGGUGAGGAAAAGAAGACUCGGGGGAUGCUAAUUAAGGUGGCAAUGAUAAAUGUAAUUUUUGCCUUAAAUGGUGGUUGGUGGGAAAAGUCACAGCUGUGCCCCGGUGUGACAGGGUUUGCUAUCGAUCUGUUGUUAGCGUAAGUGAAAAGUCUUACAUGGUUCUAGUUUUCGUGAUACUGCUGAUGACUUUUACAUGCUUUGAUUUUUAUUUUAUUUUAAUCUAAU
rnacentral:lncRNA from 1 species